UUAAGUCUUACACAGAUAUUAAUACCACGCUUUUAUUAGUAAGUUAAUCACUUACUGCAUACGGACAUAAAAACAAAUAUUAAUAUUACAUAUUAUGUAAUUGCACGACUAUAUUUUCCCCAAGUUAUUUUUACAUUGGAAGUUCUUAGUGUUGAUACUGCUUAAAUAUUACUCAAUACGUGAAGAAUGAAUCCUGUAAUGGCACUUAUGUAAAUGUUUAUGUAUUCAAACAAUAUCCAGUUGAAGAAAUUUGAAUGUAUGUUUAUUCACAUAGCAGAUGCCUUUAUUCAAAUCCAUUUACAAAUGAAAAAAGCAGUUAAGGGCGGUUUCCUGGACUGGGAAUAGCUUAAACCAGGAUUAGGCCUUAGUUUAAUUAUGAAAUAUAACAAGGUUUAACAAACAUGCCUUACUAAAAACAUUACUUGUGUGCAUUUUGAGGCAAAACAAAGGGCACUGAUGUAUUUUAAGAUAUGUUAGCACAAGUUGUUUUCAGUUUUGACAGCUCUUACAUUUAUUUUAGUCUAGGACUAGUCUAAUCCCUGUCCGGGAAACCGCCCCAAAAUGUUUUGUCCAAAGGCCCAUGUAAUGUUUAGUAAGACACUAAAUAUACAACACUUGUUUUGUAUCUCAGUAAUUUGUAUUUAUUUCUCAGAUGAUUCUUCACUAGAGGUUACAUUGAAGUCAGGCAAUGACAGGAAGGAUGGCUGGGGAUUCCAAGAUCUGAUAAAAGAAGUUACAUGAAGAUACUUGGACUACUCAUGGGACCAGAGAGCUAUUACACCAGCUCCAGUCUGGAUCCUGUCUCUAUCAGAUGACCCUACACAUAAGGAAAGUUGACAUCGGACAUCACGAGGACUUCAAAACUGUUCAAAGCGCUAUACAAAUAAAUGUGAACAAAAUUGAAUUGUUUGAAGUCAACAGCAGAGAUGAGGAUGCCACACAAUGCAUCCUCUCCACAACAGAUCUUGCAUUACAAAGUGAUAUUGACAUCUUUCUUGGCCUCUUUGAUUACAAUCCUCCCAAUCAUUCCUGCAACACAAGAAGCACACAUUACUUUUAUGUCACAAAUCACAGUUUGUCAUUAAAGUCUGGUCUACCUGCUACUUUUAAAAGAUCUUCGUAUCAAAAUUUCUUAAAUACUGGAUUUUAUUAAUUACUUUUGUUUAGUUACCAAUAUAUUUAUUUACAUUUGCACAUUUUUUCAUAUUCAUUCAUUUUAUCCUAAACUAUUUUGCUUGUUGUUUCAUUACUGCAGAUUAUUUAUGUUGGGUGAUGCAUUGUCUUCAUAAGUAGAUAUAGGUAUAUCAGUGGUCUCCUCCUGCUAAAGAUUUUUGAUAAUGUCAUAAGACAAAGUAGCAUUGUGUAAUACUUUAUAUGUUGUUUAAAAUAUGGGUAACACUUUACAAUAAGGUUCAUUAGUUAACAACAUUAAUUAACAUGAACUAAUAAUGAACUGCACUUAUACAGCAUUUAUUCAUCUUUGUUAAUGUUAAUUUCAACAAUUACUAAUACUUUUAUUAAAAUUUUGUUAAUGUUAGUUAAUGCACUGUGAACUAACAUGGACAAGCAAAUAAAGCUUUAUUUAUAUUAACUAACGUUAACAAAGAUUAAUAAAUACUGUAACAAAUGUAUUGCUCAUAGUUUGUUCAUGUUAGUUAAUACAUUAACUAAUAUUAACUAAUGAACCUUAUUGUAAAGUGUUACCAAAAUAUGUUACAAGACGAGUCAGACAGACCAUUGACAGUGCAGCUAAGAUUAUUCAAUCAACCAUUUUUAUUUUAUUCUUUAUCAUUUUGUCCCCUGCCUGAUGUUCUCAUCUCUGUCUACCUUGUGGUUGAGUAAAAGCAUUAACUCACCACAGAGUUGUCUAUCUUUGAGCAAUGGACAAAGUCAUUUUCCUGACUAAGAGAGGUCUAGUGAAACUAAGAACUAGUGAACUGGACUUGCUCCUUGUAUCGGUUUAAUCUAACAUUUUUGGCAUAGUCAUAUUUGGAUCUAUCAAUGUCAUUAAAUGCCCACCUGAUCUUA